GAUGAACGCUAGCGGCAGGCCUAACACAUGCAAGUCGAGGGGUAACAGGUUUAGCAAUAAAUGCUGACGACCGGCGCACGGGUGAGUAUCGCGUUUGCAACCUACCUUUAACUGGGGCAUAGCCCGGAGAAAUUCGGAUUAAUACCCCAUAACAAUGAGAGAUCGCAUGAUUUUUCAUUUAAAGCUCCGGCGGUUAAAGAUGGGCAUGCGUGACAUUAGCUUGUUGGUGAGGUAACGGCUCACCAAGGCUACGAUGUCUAGGGGGUCUGAGAGGAUGAUCCCCCACACUGGCACUGAGACACGGUCCAGACUCCUACGGGAGGCAGCAGUGAGGAAUAUUGGACAAUGGACGAAAGUCUGAUCCAGCCAUGCCGCGUGCAGGAAGAAGGCCUUCUGGGUUGUAAACUGCUUUUAUUAAGGAAGAAAUCCAUCUACGUGUGAGGAAUUGACGGUACUAUAUGAAUAAGCACCGGUUAACUCCGUGCCAGCAGCCGCGGUAAUACGGAGGGUGCAAGCGUUGUCCGGAUUUACUGGGUUUAAAGGGUGCGCAGGCGGGCUUGUAAGUCAGUGGUGAAAUUCUGCCGUUUAACGGUAGAACUGCCAUUGAUACUGCAAGUCUUGAAUAUGGUUGAGCUAGGCGGAAUGUGUUGUGUAGCGGUGAAAUGCAUAGAUAUGACACAGAACGCCGAUUGCGAAGGCAGCUUACUAAGCCAUGAUUGACGCUGAGGCACGAAAGCGUGGGGAGCGAACAGGAUUAGAUACCCUGGUAGUCCACGCCGUAAACGAUGAUCACUCGCUGUCUGCGAUACACAGUAGGCGGCUGAGCGAAAGCAUUAAGUGAUCCACCUGGGGAGUACGAUCGCAAGGUUGAAACUCAAAGGAAUUGACGGGGGCCCGCACAAGCGGAGGAACAUGUGGUUUAAUUCGAUAAUACGCGAGGAACCUUACCUGGGCUUAAAUGUAGAUUGCAUAAACGGGAAACUUUUUUCCUUCGGAACUCUUUACAAGGUGCUGCAUGGUUGUCGUCAGCUCGUGCCGUGAGGUGUCGGGUUAAGUCCCAUAACGAGCGCAACCCCUAUCGUUAGUUGCCAGCGAGUCAAGUCGGGGACUCUAACGAGACUGCCGGUGUAAACCGCGAGGAAGGUGGGGAUGACGUCAAAUCAGCACGGCCCUUACGUCCAGGGCUACACACGUGUUACAAUGGCCGAUACAAAGGGCAGCUACCAGGUGACUGGAUGCUAAUCUCGAAAGUCGGUCUUAGUUCGGAUCGAAGUCUGCAACUCGACUUCGUGAAGCUGGAUUCGCUAGUAAUCGUGGAUCAGCAUGCCACGGUGAAUACGUUCCCGGGCCUUGUACACACCGCCCGUCACACCAUGGGAGUAGGUUGCUCCAGAAGUAGUUAGCCUAACCGCAAGGAGGGCGAUUACCACGGAGUGAUUCAUGACUGGGGUG
rnacentral:rRNA from 1 species